rnacentral:rRNA from 1 species
GACGUACGCUGGCGGCGUGCCUAACACAUGCAAGUCGAACGCUGAAGGAGGAGCUUGCUGUGCUGGAUGAGUUGCGAACGGGUGAGUAACGCGUAGGUAACCUGCCUGGUAGCGGGGGAUAACUUUUGGAAACGAUAGCUAAUACCGCAUAAGAGUAAAUGUUGCAUGACAUGGGCUGAAAAGGUUCAAUUGCAGCACUAGCAGAAGGACCUGCGUUGUAUUAGCUAGUGGGUGGGGUAACGGCUCACCAAGGCGACGAGACAUAGCCGACCUGCGAGGGGGCUCGGCCUCACUGGGACGGUGACACGGCCCAGACGCCUGCGGGUGGCAGCCGUAGGGAACCUUCGGGAAGAGCCGGAAGUCUGACCAAGCGACGCCGCGUGAGGGCCGAAGGUUUUCGUGUCGUGAAGGUCUGUUGUAAGAUAGGAACGAGGGUGAGAGUGGAAAGUUCACACAGUGACGGUACCUUACCAGUAAGCGCCGGCUAACUACGUG